rfam:Felis catus isolate Cinnamon breed Abyssinian chromosome E1, whole genome shotgun sequence.
GCUUGGCUGGCUCAGUUGCUGGAGCAUGCGACUCCUGAUCUCAGGGUUGUGAGUUCAAGCCCCACAUUAGGCA